rnacentral:rRNA from 2 species
UUGACCUCGGAUCAGGUAGGAUUACCCGCUGAACUUAAGCAU